CGUGAGAGAAGCCAGGAGAGAGCUUUUCCCCUUAAGAACCCUAACAUACUAAAUCCUUCAAAUUAAAGAGGAGAUUGAAGGCUAGUGGAAUGCAUGGAUUAAGAAUGAUGAUCCCCUAAGCAUUUCCUACAUCAAGAACGAGAGUAAAGGAAAGCUUGAGUCAUACCCAAGAUAAAGUGACGAAAAAUCAAGGAACGAGAGUAAAGGAAAGCUUGAGUCAUACCCAAGAUAAAGUGACGAAAAAUCAAGGUAAUCCUCACUUUAGGCGAAUUGGAGAAUUGGAGCGAGCACGUGUCCAUGUCAUGUUAUACCAAACGCUUCCGCUAGAUUAUUCUCAUCCUUUUGGUCCAUGACUUGUUAUUUUGUCCAACUUUGUUAGUAGUUGUACAUUUGUAAAACUUGUCGUCUUUGCUUUUGGUAGUUUUAUGUCAACGGGUCGUAGAAUGUUAUUUGAAUGAUUAUGUUAAAACCAGGGGGCACAUUCGUUUUACGAACGGGUCA